rnacentral:lncRNA from 1 species
CCUCUUUCCUUUCUUUUCUUUUCCUUUUCCUUUUCCUCCCUUCCUCCCUUGGGCUUCCCUAAGAAACUGCCUAAUUUUUAAAAGUUAACAGCUAACUCUUUUCAUGUUACUUUUUAAACACAAUGUGGGUGAGCAGAACCUGCCUGGCGGCCUGAGGUGCCCCACAGGCUGCCUGUCUGUGGCGUCUUCUGCAAAGAAGCUCAAGGUCAGGAGGGGGCAAGGCUGAAGGACCAACUGCCAAGACAGAGAACAAAGAGAGGGAGAAAACAAGGGGAGCUCUGUACCGCUUCUAGCCCACAGGCUGUUGAUCAGCCAUCAGAAAGUGGACCAAGUAGCCAAAUGGAUACCCUGAAAAUUAAAAGAAAGGAUGUGUCAGAAGCGUCCAGGCUUCAGUGAGAUGCUCAGCACACAGCAAGUGAUUAUCAUGGUCGAGGAUAAAGAGGCAUCAAAAGAGUUGCAACUCUAUCUCAGAAUCACUGCCGCCCUUUGGAGAAAUGGAGAGGCAAGAUGCUGGGGAACCAGAAAGCCCUGAAGGAAGACAGGCUCUCCAGUCCUGUGAGGUCCUUGGUCACACAGAUUCCAGAGUGAGGAGCUAUGUCAGCAAGGCAAGCAUGCAGG